rnacentral:rRNA from 2 species
AGAGUUUGAUCCUGGCUCAGGAUGAACGCUGGCGGCGUGCCUAAUACAUGCAAGUCGAGCGAACGGACGAGAAGCUUGCUUCUCUGAUGUUAGCGGCGGACGGGUGAGUAACACGUGGAUAACCUACCUAUAAGACUGGGAUAACUUCGGGAAACCGGAGCUAAUACCGGAUAAUAUUUUGAACCGCAUGGUUCAAAAGUGAAAGACGGUCUUGCUGUCACUUAUAGAUGGAUCCGCGCUGCAUUAGCUAGUUGGUAAGGUAACGGCUUACCAAGGCAACGAUGCAUAGCCGACCUGAGAGGGUGAUCGGCCACACUGGAACUGAGACACGGUCCAGACUCCUACGGGAGGCAGCAGUAGGGAAUCUUCCGCAAUGGGCGAAAGCCUGACGGAGCAACGCCGCGUGAGUGAUGAAGGUCUUCGGAUCGUAAAACUCUGUUAUUAGGGAAGAACAUAUGUGUAAGUAACUGUGCACAUCUUGACGGUACCUAAUCAGAAAGCCACGGCUAACUACGUGCCAGCAGCCGCGGUAAUACGUAGGUGGCAAGCGUUAUCCGGAAUUAUUGGGCGUAAAGCGCGCGUAGGCGGUUUUUUAAGUCUGAUGUGAAAGCCCACGGCUCAACCGUGGAGGGUCAUUGGAAACUGGAAAACUUGAGUGCAGAAGAGGAAAGUGGAAUUCCAUGUGUAGCGGUGAAAUGCGCAGAGAUAUGGAGGAACACCAGUGGCGAAGGCGACUUUCUGGUCUGUAACUGACGCUGAUGUGCGAAAGCGUGGGGAUCAAACAGGAUUAGAUACCCUGGUAGUCCACGCCGUAAACGAUGAGUGCUAAGUGUUAGGGGGUUUCCGCCCCUUAGUGCUGCAGCUAACGCAUUAAGCACUCCGCCUGGGGAGUACGACCGCAAGGUUGAAACUCAAAGGAAUUGACGGGGACCCGC